rnacentral:rRNA from 1 species
GAGUUUGAUCGUGGCUCAGAUUGAACGCUGGCGGCAUGCCUUACACAUGCAAGUCGAACGGCAGCAUGAUCUAGCUUGCUAGAUUGAUGGCGAGUGGCGAACGGGUGAGUAAUACCAUCGGAACGUGCCCUGUAGUGGGGGAUAACUAGUCGAAAGAUUAGCUAAUACCGCAUACGACCUGAGGGUGAAAGUGGGGGACCGCAAGGCCUCAUGCUAUAGGAGCGGUCCGAUGUCUGAUUAGCUAGUUGGUGGGUAAAGGCCCACCAAGGCGACGAUCAGUAGCUGGUCUGAGAGGACGAUCAGCCACACUGGGACUGAGACACGGCCCAGACUCCUACGGGAGGCAGCAGUGGGAAUUUUGGACAAUGGGCGAAAGCCUGAUCCAGCAAUGCCGCGUGUGUGAAGAAGGCCUGGUG